rnacentral:rRNA from 1 species
CCUACGGGCGGCAGCAGUGAGGAAUAUUGGUCAAUGGACGAGAGUCUGAACCAGCCAAGUAGCGUGAAGGAUGACUGCCCUAUGGGUUGUAAACUUCUUUUAUAUGGGAAUAAAACGUUCCACGUGUGGGAUUUUGUAUGUACCAUAUGAAUAAGGAUCGGCUAACUCCGUGCCAGCAGCCGCGGUAAUACGGCGGAUCCGAGCGUUAUCCGGAUUUAUUGGGUUUAAAGGGAGCGUAGGUGGAUUGUUAAGUCAGUUGUGAAAGUUUGCGGCUCAACCGUAAAAUUGCAGUUGAAACUGGCAGUCUUGAGUACAGUAGAGGUGGGCGGAAUUCGUGGUGUAGCGGUGAAAUGCUUAGAUAUCACGAAGAACUCCGAUUGCGAAGGCAGUUCACUGGACUGCAACUGACACUGAGGCUCGAAAGUGUGGGUAUCAAACAGGAUUAGAUACCCGUGUAGUC